GAUGAACGCUAGCGGCAGGCUUAAUACAUGCAAGUCGAGGGGCAGCAUGAUUGUAGCAAUACAAUUGAUGGCGACCGGCAAACGGGUGCGGAACACGUACACAACCUCCCAAUAAGUGGGGAAUAGCCCAGAGAGAUUUGGAUUAAUACCCCGUACCGUAACGAUGUGGCUACACAUUGUUAUUAUAGAAUUAUCGUUUAAUGAUGGGUGUGCGGCUGAUUGGGUAGUUGGCGGGGUAACGGCCGACCAAGUCUACGAGCAGUAGCUGAUGUGAGAGCAUGAUCAGCCACACGGGCAAUGAGACACGGGCCCGACUCCUACGGGAGGCAGCAGUAAGGAAUAUUGGACAAUGGACGCAAGUCUGAUCCAGCCAUGCCGCGUGAAGGAUUAAGGUCCUCUGGAUUGUAAACUUCUUUUAUAAGGGACGAAAAAAGGCUUUUCUAAGUCGUCUGACGGUACCUUAUGAAUAAGCACCGGCUAACUCCGUGCCAGCCGCCGCGGUAA
rnacentral:rRNA from 1 species